GACGAACGCUGGCGGCGUGCCUAAUACAUGCAAGUAGGACGCACAGUCUAUACCGUAGCUUGCUACACCAUAGGCUGUGAGUUGCGAACGGGUGAGUAACGCGUAGGUAACCUGCCUAUUAGAGGGGGAUAACUAUUGGAAACGAUAGUUAAUACCGCAUAGCAGUAUGUAACACAUGUUAGAUGCUUGAAAGAUGCAAUUGCAUCGCUAGUAGAUGGACCUGCGUUGUAUUAGCUAGUAGGUAGGGUAAUGGCCUACCUAGGCGACGAUACAUAGCCGACCUGAGAGGGUGAUCGGCCACACUGGGACUGAGACACGGCACAGACUCCUACGGGAGGCAGCAGUAGGGAAUCUUCGGCAAUGGGGGGAACCCUGACCGAGCAACGCCGCGUGAGUGAAGAAGGUUUUCGGAUCGUAAAGCUCUGUUGUUAAGGAAGAACGAGUGUGAGAAUGGAAAGUUCAUACUGUGACGGUACUUAACCAGAAAGGGACGGCUAACUACGUG
rnacentral:rRNA from 1 species